rnacentral:rRNA from 1 species
AACGCUAGCUACAGGCUUAACACAUGCAAGUCGAGGGGUAACGAGAGGGAAGCUUGCUUUCCUUGUCGACGACCGGCGCACGGGUGAGUAACGCGUAUCCAACCUGCCCCCAACUAGGGAAUAACCUUGCGAAAGUAAGACUAAUACCCUAUAAUUUCCUCAGAUGUCAUCUGACGAGGAAUAAAGAUUUAUCGGUUGUGGAUGGGGAUGCGUCUGAUUAGCUUGUUGGCGGGGUAACGGCCCACCAAGGCAACGAUCAGUAGGGGUUCUAAGAGGAAGGUCCCCCACAUUGGAACUGAGACACGGUCCAAACUCCUACGGGAGGCAGCAGUGAGGAAUAUUGGUCAAUGGGCGGAAGCCUGAACCAGCCAAGUAGCGUGCAGGAUGACGGCCCUAUGGGUUGUAAACUGCUUUUAUACAGGAAUAAAGUUAGCCACGUGUGGUUAUUUGUAGGUACUGUAUGAAUAAGGACCGGCUAAUUCCGUGCCAGCAGCCGCGGUAAUACGGAAGGUCCAGGCGUUAUCCGGAUUUAUUGGGUUUAAAGGGAGCGUAGGCCGUCUGUUAAGCGUGUUGUGAAAUGUAGAUGCUCAACAUCUGAAUUGCAGCGCGAACUGGCAGACUUGAGUGUGCGCAACGUAGGCGGAAUUCGUGGUGUAGCGGUGAAAUGCUUAGAUAUCACGAAGAACUCCGAUUGA